UGAGGAAUUUUCCGCAAUGGACGAAAGUCUGACGGAGCAACGCCGCGUGCAGGAUGACGGCCUUCGGGUUGUAAACUGCUUUUAUCGGGGAAGAGAACGGACGGUACCUGAUGAAUAAGCCCCGGCUAACUACGUGCCAGCAGCCGCGGUAAUACGUAGGGGGCGAGCGUUGUCCGGAAUUAUUGGGCGUAAAGCGCACGCAGGCGGUUCGCCAAGUUCGGAGUGACAAUCACCGGCUUAACCGGUGAACGACUUCGAAAACUGGUGGACUUGAGAGCGAGAGAGGGACAUGGAACUCCGGGUGGAGCAGUGAAAUGCGUAGAGAUCCGGAAGAACACCAAAGGCGAAGGCAGUGUCCUGGCUCGUUUCUGACGCUCAGGUGCGAAAGCCAGGGGAGCGAACGGGAUUAGAUACCCCCGUAGUCC
rnacentral:rRNA from 1 species